rnacentral:rRNA from 1 species
GACGAACGCUGGCGGCGUGCUUAACACAUGCAAGUCGAACGGAAAGGCCCUGCUUUUGUGGGGUGCUCGAGUGGCGAACGGGUGAGUAACACGUGAGUAACCUGCCCUUGACUUUGGGAUAACUUCAGGAAACUGGGGCUAAUACCGGAUAGGAGCUCCUGCUGCAUGGUGGGGGUUGGAAAGUUUCGGCGGUUGGGGAUGGACUCGCGGCUGAUCAGCUUGUUGGUGGGGUAGUGGCUUACCAAGGCUUUGACGGGUAGCCGGCCUGAGAGGGUGACCGGCCACAUUGGGACUGAGAUACGGCCCAGACUCCAACGGGGGGCAGCAGUGGGGAAUAUGGCACAAUGGGCGGAAGCCUGAUGCAGCAACGCCGCGUGCGGGAUGACGGCCUUCGGGUUGUAAACCGCUUUCGCCUGUGACGAAGCGGGAGUGACGGUAAUGGGUAAAGAAGCACCGGCUAACUACGUG